rnacentral:sRNA from 1 species
CCGCUGCCCACCCGAGCCUAUCUGGGCUGCGUCUUGCCGCCGCUGCUCUUCGUGGCCCAACGCCUCAAUCCUUGCCUGUCCUUGCAGUCCCACCCCACACUCAGCCUUGUGUCCCUCGAUCCGGUCUCCGACUUCCAUUUCCCACCCUAAACCGCCUACUCAGUGUCUGUUCCCCGCCCCGUUGUCCUCGCCCUGCUGCGCUGAGGGUGCCCUGUUAGCCUCGACCCCAUGGCGCUGCAGACGCUGCAGAGCUCGUGGGUGACCUUCCGCAAGAUCCUGUCUCAUUUCCCCGAGGAGCUGAGUCUGGCUUUCGUCUACGGCUCCGGGGUGUACCGCCAGGCAGGGCCCAGUUCAGACCAGAAGAAUGCUAUGCUGGACUUUGUGUUCACAGUAGAUGACCCUGUCGCAUGGCAUUCAAAGAACCUGAAGAAAAAUUGGAGCCACUACUCUUUCCUAAAAGUUUUAGGGCCCAAGAUUAUCACAUCCAUCCAGAAUAACUAUGGCGCUGGAGUUUACUACAAUUCAUUGAUCAUGUGUAAUGGUAGGGUAAGUGACUGCUGGCCUUUGUCUUAACUUGGCUGGUUAUUAACCUGGGUUAUUAGAGUGCCAGCUAAAUAUGUAUGUUCUUGUAGUCAGGAAACAUUCACACUCCUGCUGGACAUUGUUAUAGUCAGGAAAUAUGUAUGUUUUUAUAGUAUGUAUGUUCUUAUAGUCAGGAAACAUUCACACUCCUGCCAGAUGUCUUGACUUUGGGGACAGAGCAGGGACUGGAGUCCUUCCUCAUCUCCCAUUAACUGUCAUGGCAGUGUGAGGGGGUGGUUGGGUGUGACUGACUUUUUUUAUUUUUUAUUUUUUUUGAGACGGAGUUUUGCUCUUGUUGCCCAGGCUGGAGUGCAGUGGUGUGAUCUCGGCUCACUGCAACCUCCGCCUUGCAGGUUCGAGUGAUUCUCCCGCCUCAGCCUCCCAGUUAGCUGGGAUUACAGGCGUGUGCCACCUUUUAGUAGAGACAGGGUUUCACCAUGUUGGCCAGGCUGG